GACGAACGCUGGCGGCGUGCUUAACACAUGCAAGUCGAACGGAAAGGCCCUGCUUUUGUGGGGUGCUCGAGUGGCGAACGGGUGAGUAACACGUGAGUAACCUGCCCUUGACUUUGGGAUAACUUCAGGAAACUGGGGCUAAUACCGGAUAGGAGCUCCUGCUGCAUGGUGGGGGUUGGAAAGUUUCGGCGGUUGGGGAUGGACUCGCGGCUUAUCAGCUUGUUGGUGGGGUAGUGGCUUACCAAGGCUUUGACGGGUAGCCGGCCUGAGAGGGUGACCGGCCACAUUGGGCCUGAGAUACGGCGCAGACUGCUACGGGAGGCAGCAGGGGAGAAUCUUGCACAAUGGGCGGAAGCCUGAGGCAGCAACGCCGCGUGCGGGAUGACGGCCUUCGGGUGGUAAACCGCUUUCGCCGGUGACGAAGCGUGAGUGACGGUAAUGGGUAAAGAAGCACCGGCUAACUACGUG
rnacentral:rRNA from 1 species